GGAUGCUGGCCAGUCUCCUGACUGGGGACAGAACCAUCUCAAGGAGAAAAGUAAUUUUCUUGAAUGUGAAAAUUUAAAAUGGAGAGGAAAUAACACUUUCUACAACCCUACCCUCCCUGCCUUUAAAACAAGAAUGAAGAAGUGAAAACUGAGGCCAAAGGAUUUCAAACACAGCAGGACAAGAAAGCCCCCAGUUAUAGAAGUCCCUUCCUGCCCAAAACUCCUCA